AUUCCUUUAAGGUCAUGUCGUAUUCUAUGAUCUUCUUUUCUAUUCUGUCCAUAUAGAAACUAUAUUUUACUCUAUUAUCAUACAAAAUUCUAUUCUGUUCCUCGCAAAUCUAUUUAAUUCUACUCAUUUAAAGAAUGCUAUGGAAAUGCCUUCAGUGCUGGGAAGAAAGCAACUAUAAAACCCAGAUGACUGUCUCUGAACGAGGAGCUGGGGAACGGGAGCAGGCCUGACUUUGGCUGUCCUUGUGCAUGUUCAUGUCCAACUGUGGUUCAUUAGACGGCUCGUUCAGCAGACGCCGCAGUCCACUGGGAGGCAGGGGGCACUGAGAGACACCAGGCAACCCCACGACACGGUCACUCUAAACACAGAGACAGAGUGUGCCACAGCACUGAAGUUUCUCACAGCAUUGUUUAGACGAGCGACCCGGGAAGUUCCACUCCUCCACCACAACCAUCCAUUUCCCUGUUCUGGCUGAUGAGACUCUUUAAUUGGACUAUGCUGGGAGUGUGUAAAAUGCUGUUUGUUUACUCAUCAGAGCAAACAAACAAACAAACACAAGCCGACCACCAAGUGCGGCAGUGGAAAAACCGACUGAUUAUAGUAGUUUGUACAGUAGGAUAAAGAAGAAGAAGAAGAAGAAGAAGAAGAAGAAGAAGAAGAAGAAGAAGAAGAAGAAGAAAAAGAAGAAGUAACUUCCCGGUUUCCACACUGCUGUAUUCUUUUACCUCUGUACCUCUCUCUAGGUGUGAAUGUUAAUAAGGUGUUAUUCAUUUUAAUGACUCUGAUCUGAACAGGGAUUUGUAUGGUGAAUGAGAUUUUACUGUUCUUUAUUUCUAACCUAUUUUGAAGCUCCAUGACAGAGGACAGUGUAUACUAAUGAGCAGACCUUUUGACAUUGUCCAAUAUGGAACGUUUAAUGUUCAUACUUUGUGCUUGGCUGCUGUUUUAUCUCCAUUCUUUCAUAUUGCUUUAAAGACACAGGCUGUCAUGACAGGUUUUUUGAGCAAAAAAUAGUAUUUUAGGCGUGUUCGUUGCUCCAAAUAGCUGUAUGAGUACUUUAGUUAUUUCAUUUUUUUAUUUAAACCAUAGUAACCCUGACCGAGUAGUUACUGAGUAUG